GCCAUUCAAGCUAGGAGUGCAGGAGCAGAAUACUCUGGUUGUUUAACCUCUAGCUUGCUAAUUACCCACUUAACACGUAAAAUCUGCCAGAUUUAUCUAGUUGUAAAUCAGCUCAGGCUUAACUACCUGCUCCUGGGGAUGAAAUUCCUGGUCCCUCUUGCAGUGAGGAAGCAGCUGAGUGCAGGAUAGUUGGGGAGCGUGCAGUCAGCCGUCGGUGCCUGGAACUUGAGAAAUGUCCCAUUGCUUUAUGGGCUGACCUUUCAGAUAAUUAGUUCUCAUAAAGUGGAAAUAAAUAAGUAUCACACAUCUAAGUUAGCAUUCCAUCUCUCAGCGUGGAUACAUGGAGGCUGCUGUCCCAGGGGAAUCGCUGCAGGGAGCUGCUGCUCAGUGAUGUGCUAACACGAUGGAGAUCAAGGAGCGAAGGCCAGAACUGAAGAGGAGAGACUGCGUCUGAGCAGCUGGCAGCUGCGGAGCUCUCGGAUCAGCCAUCGCCAGUGCUUGCUUUUAAUAGCAGCAGUGGUUGGUCAGCUGCCAACCAACUUGGGAAGAAAACGAACUGCCUGAGCUGCGAGGACUAUUUUUGGAGGUGAAACCUGCUACUGAAAUAGAUAGCAGCUCCAGCGAUGAAAUCAAGAGAUUUCUGCUGGCCUUGCUGGGUUUUGUCUGGCUGUAGUAUUUGGAGAUGUUACAGCAAGGAAUGCCGCUCGUCGAUGGGUCCUGGCCAGGCUCCUGUACCAGCUGCGCGCCGACUGCCAGCCCCGCUGCUGCCUCCUCUCAGGGGACCUGCACAGUUCGGACAACUUCAGCCCGACCCAACUGCAGCAUUAGAAGAGGAAUUCCCAGAUAGUGAAGCUUUGCAAAACAACCCCUGGCUCCUAAAUCCAUGGCCUGAAUCUAACCGGCAACACAACCACCCCAAGGCUGUGCUCAGUCCUCUUGGUGGUGAUGUGCACGGCCCUCUGGCAGCACAACAAGCAGUGUCAGACCGAGCGUCUAAUGUUUAGCCUGCAUUUAGACCCAUUUUGCUUUGAAGAAUGUCCAUGUAAUGACGCUUAAUGUGUUUACUCCAUGACGGGAGGGUUUCUUUAAUAAUUCCUGGAAUAAAGGCUCUUUGAGGUGCGUUUGUAGUCCAGCUCCAGUCUAGUCCAGGGAGAGAAAUCUAACAUGAUUUAACAACAGGCUUCGUGCUAUUUGGCAUGCUGCUUCCCGCAGAAACUAAAAACUGAAGGUGGCAGACAGCGAGCUGGAGGCAUAUGGUAUACCGGAUAAAAAAGGUUUUGAGGCUGGUGUGAAAUGGUUCGGGUUGGGCGCUGUCCUGGGCUUCGAGCAGUGCCUCGCAUAGGGAGUUCUGUCAGAGCUUCCCUCUUAGAGGAUUGUAAAAUGCACGAUGACGCAGGAAUUUGUGUGCAUAUUAAAUGGAUCUUUUAUAGACGUAUGUGCAAUUUGCUUCUAUUGAAUAUAAAAUUAUGGAUUGGUAGCCUGCUUGCAUGCCUCAUGUAGGCCAAUGGUGGGCUGCAGCCGGUGGGCUGUGCUGGUUCUCAAAAGGUAUUUCCAUGGACUGAAACACUCCAUUGGCUGCUUUGUUCAGUGGAAAUGCUGAAUUUGAAAUGUUUGUCCUCCUUGAAAACUUCAUUUUUGGAAUACCCAAACAAUUCUAUCCGCACUUGUGUUUUUUAUUCAUUCAUAAUUAAACUUGAUAAUAGAAAAAAUCUGCAUUAAAACAUUGUGGAAGUUCUGUAAGGAGGACAUUGUUCCCUCUUACGUUGUAAAUGAUUUAAAUAUAACUGUAGUCUACUCGCUUUCUCUUUACUGAGUUGCUGGGAUGUCUUUGCUGCAUGUGCUACUCAUUUGGGCAUCCAUGAUCACUGCUUCAGUCUCUUUUCUUACUUACUUACUAAGUAAUUAUUAGUUACUACUGAAAUGGAGCAGUAUCAUUGAGUGACAUUCAGAUCCCAUAAUCUGUCUCUGAACCGAGCUGCAGUCUGUGCAGUGCCAGUUUUGCUCGAAAUGCCACCUUCCCCAAGUGUUUAGCUUAUCAUAUAUGAUGGCAAAUUGUUCCUCUUGCACAAUGGCAGGUGCCCCUAGGGAGUGACAACGAUAGGACGUCCAGCUGCUCGUACAGAUAAUACUGAAAUUAGGAAAAGUGUUAAAUGCACACGAUAAUCUCUCUCAAAACUCUGAGA